CAAUUACAUUCUUCCAUAAUGUACUAUUUCCUUAUCGAAGCUCGUUAAAGUUUGUUCAAAGCACGACACUAAAGCAGUUACAGUUUUGGCUUGCCAUUCAAGUGACUGUCAAAGAGGAGACAACAUAACUCUAACGGAACUUUAUUUAUGCAGUGAAGAGCAGAAAAUGAUGCAUGGAAUCCUGUGGAUAAGAAGAAGCAAUAUGAGAAAGCCCAUGGAUCACAAUGCAAGACCUCUGCAAGACAGAGCUGUGACAAAAGAUGUGUAAGACAGACCAUACCUCUUACUGUUGCAUUUUCUUUAUUUAAAGUGAGCAGAAGCUGACAAGGAUGCAGGA